rnacentral:rRNA from 1 species
UUUCGUACAAUAAGAGAUGAGGUGUAGAGGUGUGGCGUGUUGAACAUGGGUGCGGCUUAAUUAUUAUUGAGUGAGUGCUCGUAGAAGGUGAAAAGCCUGUAUAGCCGAACCGCAAUAUGUCCAACCGCAACACUGAAGAGUCGAGUUGUUUGAGAGUACAACUCAAAGGUGGUGGUAAAUUUCAUCAAAGGCUGAAUAUAUGAGGGGACUAAUAGCGAACAAGUACCAUGAGGGAAAGUUGAAAAGAACUUUGACGAGAGAGUUCAACAGUACGUGAAACCAUAUUGAGUAAAACAGAUGACUGUGUUGUUAUGUGGUGCGCCUAUCAACAGUGAAUUCGGUGUUGCGCAACCAUGAGUGUAGGCUGUCUGUCCAGUUGCGUGCUCGUGGUUAGCAUAGCCAAGUGUACUGUGCACUAGUGCGCAUUCAUUCAUUGAGAAACUACGCCGCUGCGGCAUCGGCGUGCAGUAGUAUGUAUUUUGUACGAGGUUGCAUGCUGRGCGUCAGCUAGGUGGCGUAGUUUAGCUGUCCGACAGCUGUGGACCGCGUUCAUCGAAGCGGCUUGCUGGGUCUGCGAAUCGGUUGAUCGCUGUUUUGCGGUGAGCACGUCGCAACGCGUGAGCGGUCCGCCAUCAAUGCUCAACAUUAGUUAUCUGACCCGUCUUGAAACACGGACCAAGGAGUUCAAAUGGCGCGCGAGUCAUUGGGCGUAGGUUCCCGAAGGCGAAGUGAAAUGCAAACGUAUCGUUCUUUAUGGUUGUUCCAUGAUGAAGCGGUAAGCUACUCAUGCCGUGUGGCAUUUGUAGACUAUAAGCGUGAUGUUUGAGACCCGAAAGAUGGUGACCUAUGCCUAGUCAAGAUGAAGCCAGAGGAAACUCUGGUGGAUGUCUGAAGUUAUUCUGACGUGCAAAUCGAUAAUCUGAUCUGGGUAUAGGGGCGAAAGACUAAUCGAACCAUCUAGUAGCUGGUUCCUUCCGAAGUUUCCCUCAGGAUAGCAAGCGUACAGUUUUAGUUUCAUCCCGUAAAGCGAAUGAUUAGAGGUCUUGGGGCGUAUAUUGCCUCAACCUAUUCUCAAACUUUUAAUGGGUGUGAGCGUUUUUUCUUAACUGAAGGACGCUGCUAAAUAAGUAUGCUUAGUGGGCCAUUUUUGGUAAGCAGAACUGGCGCUGUGGGUUGAACCAAUUGUUGAGUUAAAGUGCCAAAAGCUGGAAUGCGCAUAAGACCUAUAAAGGGUGUUAGUUGCUGAAGACAGCAGG